UACGUAGGGUGCGAGCGUUGUCCGGAAUUAUUGGGCGUAAAGAGCUCGUAGGUGGUUCGUUACGUCGGAUGUGAAAAUCUGGGGCUCAACCCCAGACCUGCAUUCGAUACGGGCGAACUAGAGUGUGGUAGGGGAGACUGGAAUUCCUGGUGUAGCGGUGGAAUGCGCAGAUAUCCGGAGGAACUCCAAUGGCGAAGGCAGGUCUCUGGGCCAUUACUGACACUGAGGAGCGAGAGCGUGGGGUGCGAACAGG
rnacentral:rRNA from 1 species